rnacentral:rRNA from 1 species
CUACGGGUUGCUGCAGUGGGGAAUAUUGCACAAUGGGCGCAAGCCUGAUGCAGCCAUGCCGCGUGUAUGAAGAAGGCCUUCGGGUUGUAAAGUACUUUCAGCGGGGAGGAAGAGAGUAAAGUUAAUACCUUUGCUCAUUGACGUUACCCGCAGAAGAAGCACCGGCUAACUCCGUGCCAGCAGCCGCGGUAAUACGGAGGGUGCAAGCGUUAAUCGGAAUUACUGGGCGUAAAGCGCACGCAGGCGGUUUGUUAAGUCAGAUGUGAAAUCCCCGGGCUCAACCGGGGAACUGCAUCUGAUACUGGCAAGCUUGAGUCUCGUAGAGGGGGGUAGAAUUCCAGGUGUAGCGGUGAAAUGCGUAGAGAUCUGGAGGAAUACCGGUGGCGAAGGCGGCCCCCUGGACGAAGACUGACGCUCAGGUGCGAAAGCGUGGGGAGCAAACAGGAUUAGAUACCCGAGUAGUC